UACGUAGGGUGCGAGCGUUAAUCGGAAUUACUGGGCGUAAAGCGUGCGCAGGCGGUUUGUUAAGACAGAUGUGAAAUCCCCGGGCUUAACCUGGGAACUGCAUUUGUGACUGGCAAGCUAGAGUAUGGCAGAGGGGGGUAGAAUUCCACGUGUAGCAGUGAAAUGCGUAGAGAUGUGGAGGAAUACCGAUGGCGAAGGCAGCCCCCUGG
rnacentral:rRNA from 1 species